UACGUAGGGGGCAAGCGUUAUCCGGAUUUACUGGGUGUAAAGGGAGCGCAGACGGCUGUGCAAGUCUGAAGUGAAAACCUUGGGCUUAACCGAAGGAUUGCUUUGGAAACUGUAUGGCUUGAGUACCGGAGGGGUAAGCGGAAUUCCUGGUGUAGCGGUGAAAUGCGUAGAUAUCAGGAAGAACACCGGUGGCGAAGGCGGCUUACUGGACGGUAACUGACGUUGAGGCUCGAAAGCGUGGGGAG
rnacentral:rRNA from 1 species